rnacentral:rRNA from 1 species
ACUCAAAUGAAUAGACGGGGGCCCGCACAAGCGGAGGAACAUGUGGUUUAAUUCGAUGAUACGCGAGGAACCUUACCCGGGUUAGAACGCAGAGGGAAUAUGUGGGAAACUGCAUAGCCGCCAGGCCGUCUGCGAGGUGCUGCAUGGUUGUCGUCAGCUCGUGCCGUGAGGUGUCGGCUUAAGUGCCAUAACGAGCGCAACCCUUAUUGUUAGUUGCCAGCGAGUAAAGUCGGGGACUCUAGCAAAACUGCCUGCGUAAGCAGCGGGGAAGGUGGGGAUGACGUCAAAUCAGCACGGCCCUUACGUCCGGGGCGACAAACGUGUUACAAUGGGAGGUACAGCAGGUUGCUACCACGCGAGUGGAUGCUAAUCCGUAAAUCCUCUCUCAGUUCGGAUCGAAGUCUGCAACUCGACUUCGUGAAGCCGGAUUCGCUAGUAAUCGCGCAUCAGCCAUGGCGCGGUGAAUACGUUCCCGGGCCUUGCACACACCGCCCGU